UUAAAAGCAUACAUACUCCUAGUGCAGCACAGCACACGUGUCCCUCCUGACUCUACUUGUUUGAAACACUUGCAGAAAACAAUGCAGGUGAACAAAUGCAGACGGCUGGUAUCUGUUUGUGCUCCCAUUUCUGUCUCCCCUCCUGCACCCACAGCUCAGCACCCACCCACCCCACCCCACCCCACCCCCCAUUCCCUCCCUCCACGCCGGUUCUGCUGGAGUUCACAUGAUCAAGCAAGGUACCCAAGUAAUUACCUGGCAUUGUCAAAUAAAGCGGCCACUGAUUCAAAUGAGGAGUGAAAUAUCAAAGAGCAGUUGCUUUUUCUUUUUUUUUUUGCAGCCACUAUUUAUCCAUACAGGAGAGACAGAGAGAUCUGAGAGCUCGGGGAUCUGCAGAGAGGCAACAACAACAUUCAGCCUUCCUUUCUCAGAUAAAUAUCACCAAUAGGAGCAACAGAGCCAAACAUGCCCAAGUUCACCUACAACGACACAUUUAUUUGUAUUACACAUCCCGUUUGGCUAUUAUUUGUGCAUAUCCUUUAUAGCAGGAGUAUUUGCCGUCAUCCUCGAGCCUUUGCUGAUUUUAAUCAUUCAGGUGUUGCUAUGUUACAAUAAUCACAUGCAACGCUUCUCUUCUAAUCACAUCGCAAAGAAAACAAUACCAAAAACUAAAGUGGCACUCACACAUCUGUGCACAGAUGUUGACAGAGUUUGAACUGCUGCCAAACGUAUAUGAUCCCUUUCAUUCUCAUCCAUCAGAUGUGGAUCCAGAUCAGAUGGCUCCCAUACAAUUUUAUUCAUGAUGUGUGCAUCAGUAUUUGAAUUGCUGACAAAUAUUACUCAAAAAGAAACAAGGCGAUCUUGCAUGUGCAUGAAACGCAUAGCCAGAAAUCAAAGGGAUCGUGUUGUGCAACUUUACAUCAAGCGAAUGUCAGUCAUCAGGUGACUUUAAAAUUUUUGGCCAAAAUGCCAUCUUGGCCUAUUUCUUUAAAUUGAAAGGAAAGGAGCUGCUGCACACCCUUCCAUCUUCAGAGAGAAAAGGCUUUUCCCCAUGUUUGACUC